UGGCUCAGGAUGAACGCUAGCGACAGGCCUAACACAUGCAAGUCGAGGGGCAGCACAAGGAGCAAUCUGAGGUGGCGACCGGCGCACGGGUGAGUAACACGUAUGCAACCUGCCUGUAAGCGGGGAAUAACCCGUUGAAAGACGGACUAAUACCGCAUAAUACUAAAUUACUGCAUGGUAAUUUAUUUAAACAUUUAUGGCUUACAGAUGGGCAUGCGCAUGAUUAGCUAGUUGGAGAGGUAACGGCUCCCCAAGGCAACGAUCAUUAGGGGUUCUGAGAGGAAGGUCCCCCACACUGGUACUGAGACACGGACCAGACUCCUACGGGAGGCAGCAGUGAGGAAUAUUGGUCAAUGGACGAGAGUCUGAACCAGCCAAGUCGCGUGCAGGAAGAAUGUCCUAUGGAUUGUAAACUGCUUUUGCAGGGGAAUAAAGUGAGCCACGUGUGGUUUUUGUAUGUACUCUGCGAAUAAGGAUCGGCUAACUCCGUGCCAGCAGCAGC
rnacentral:rRNA from 1 species